rnacentral:rRNA from 1 species
AGAGUUUGAUCCUGGCUCAGAAUGAACGCUGGCGGCGUGCUUUACACAUGCAAGUCGAGCGAGGCGGCCCGCAAGGGUCAGUCGAGCGGCGAACGGGUGAGUAACGCGUGGAUUAUCUACCCUGAGGUGGGGGAUAACCCGGGGAAACUCGGGCUAAUACCGCAUGAUACCGUGAGGUCAAAGGGGGCUCGCAAGGGCUCUCGCCAUAGGAGGAGUCCGCGUCCGAUUAGCUAGUUGGUAGGGUAAUGGCCUACCAAGGCGAUGAUCGGUAGCCGGACUGAGAGGUUGGCCGGCCACACUGGAACUGAGACACGGUCCAGACUCCUACGGGAGGCAGCAGUGGGGAAUCUUGCACAAUGGGCGAAAGCCUGAUGCAGCAACGCCGCGUGGGGGAUGAAGCUUCUCGGAGUGUAAACCCCUUUCGACCCGGACGAAUGCCCGCAAGGGUUUGACGGUACGGGUAUAAGAAGCCCCGGCUAACUACGUGCCAGCCGCCGCGGUAAUAC